rnacentral:misc_RNA from 1 species
AACAUCGCGCACCUGCGGGAACCUGCGGAGGGAUCAUUACCGAGUUCGGGGUUCUGCUCCAACUCCCACCCUUGUUUACUAAGUGUUGCUUCGGCGAGACGUUGGAAAGCAACCAUCGGCGAUUCUCUCAGACGACCCGAUGCGCGCUCGCCGGACUCCAAAUACUCUGAGAUUAUGUACCGUCAGAUGAAACAAGCAAUUGAAUAAAAACUUUUAACAAUGGAUCUCAGAUCGGAAGAG